rnacentral:tRNA from 1 species
GCCUCUGUAGCUCAGUGGCAGAGCAGUGGUUGUGUAAACCAGGGGUCCUGAGUUCAAUCCUCACAGGAGGCA